rnacentral:rRNA from 1 species
UACGUAGGGGGCAAGCGUUGUCCGGAAUCAUUGGGCGUAAAGCGCGUGUAGGCGGCUUGGUAAGUCUGCUCUGAAAGCCCGGGGCUCAACCCCGGGAGGCGGGUGGAUACUGCUGAGCUCGAGUCCGGAAGAGGCGAGUGGAAUUCCUGGUGUAGCGGUGAAAUGCGCAGAUAUCAGGAGGAACACCGGUGGCGAAGGCGGGUCUCUGGGCCGAUACUGACGCUGAGGAGCGAAAGCGUGGGGAGCGAACAGG